GUAUUUUCUCUGUUGAAUUUUGUUAACUUCUUGGGUUUAUUAUUUACUUUCUUAAUUUAUCUACAAACUGACAGGAUAUAUAGAUUGCAAACAAAAAGGCAGGUUUAAUGAUUGAUACCAUUGUCUCCAUACUAUUUAAUCAAAGGGGGCAUUAGGUGGCAAAAAUGGUAGAGUCGACAAUAAGGAUGGGAGGCCAGUCAUAUGGUCAGCUGUAGCAUGCAGCUUGUCUCUGUUUCUCCUCGUUUGGUUCAGCAUUGGGGUUGGGGAAAGGCACAAAUAAGACUUUCCCGACUGCCUUCUGCGUUUCUUCUUCGCUUGGCAACAAGGAAAUUCAACUUCCUGCUCGUCUGAUAUCAGGAAUAUGGUUAUUCUAUGGUCUCUAUGGCUGAGUGGCAGUGAAAUUGUUUUUCAUGGAAAAAACCCCGACUGCAAUCUUUUCCAUGACAUUAUUCUUGUGAGACUUGCUCACAGGUGUAAGGGGAAAUGGCCUCUCGAAGAUUUUCCCAUUCACUCUUUCUCUCACCAAUCCCAACAAAAUACAAGGCACCGAAAAGGAAAACAUUAGAUGACAGACCACCCGUUGGUUAAGACUCCCGGCAGGGACGUUAAAACUGAACGUCGACGGAUCUGCCUUAGAUCCUUACGCAAGCCCGGAUCAGCAGGGAAAGGCGGUGUCAUUCGCGAUCAUGGGGCUUCAUCGAAGGCAUUUUCUUCCACCAUAUUGGCAUCGAAGAUUCGAACUAUGCCAAGCUCCUCGCCAUCAAAGAAGGCAUCACUCUUUUACUCACCAUUCCCUUGGCUACUUCCAUGCCCCUUGUUAUGGAAGGUGACUGGAAAAAUGCGGUCACUUGGACCCUUGAUCACAACUCUGUUCCAUGGCGCAUGCGAAACAUUUCCAGUGGCAUUGGUGCGCUCAUUGCUAACAUGAAGGACUGCUACUUCAAGCAUAUCUACAAGGAAACUAAUAGAUUGGCAGAUGGUCUCCCCAAAACUGUGGUCCUUCGACGGGUUAAUUUCUCCACCUUACCCUAAUGAUGGCGCUUUAUGGCUGCUGUUGGAGUGUUAUGCUCUUUCUGCCAUUGCUUUAUUGAGAUUUCCCCGCUUCUCACUGCCCUUACUCCUCUCAUGUGCCUUCCCUGCACGACACUUUUCUAGUGACCAUCUAUUGGACCAUUUAUGGUUCUUUCCCACUCAGGGGGCCCUAUGCUCUAUCCUAGUUAAUGCUGACAAGGAGCAUCACCCCCCUUUACGUUCUGGAAAUUUUUGUUUGUGGUGAUACGGUACCUGCAGGUCUAUGUCAGGGGAGUGUGCGUUUUUUAUUUGGCUUGAUAGGAAUUCAGUCUGGAUUUCACUUUUCCACCGCGCGAACUUGGCUGAUAGUUUCUCUUUUCUUUUACUUAUCAUGGCUAAUUGUAGGUUCUGGGGUGCGGUUCCGUUGCUCUCUUUGUGCAUACGGGUUUUCGCACAGAUGUGAACCUAAAGUUAUGCUCAAGGCCCAAUCUGCUCUGUUUCUGGCACCACCCAUGCUAGCUCACUUAAUGAAAUUUCUU